CUCUCCCCCUCCUCUCCCCACCGCGCCGCCCACCACGUGCGUCUCCCAACUACGCCGCCGGCGCCGCUGCCGCCGCCCUCCCGCGCCUCUGCGAAGGAGGCAACCACCGCCGCCCACUUGCGCAGCUCAACAACCGCCGACCCACCUCGCCCACCGUGGCCCACAGUUGGACCACCUCCUCCCCGAGGAGACCAGGAACUCCGCCUCACCGAGAGCUACGCCAUCCUCGAGCCGCGCUUGCUGGGGAGUCGUGGAUCGACGGAAUCGCUCCCAUCUCCUCCCACUCGCGCCUCUCCUGUCUUCCCCGAUCCGUUCAAAAGAAUUAGGGUGCCCCGCCGGUGUAGUGGUCCGCCGCUGGAGGGCCGCCGCUCGCCACCUCCCCCCCUCUCGAUUGCUUGCUAUGCAGCCUGGGCGUCGUGGCCCACCGCUCGCCGCCGCUGGACGACUGGAGGUCGUCGGCACCCAAGUACCGCCCACGCUCUGGCGCUUGCACGCCGCCGGCCCUGCCCCAUCCCACCCUCCGCCACCACCUUCCCCACCCCGAGCUCGGAUUUACGACGCCCACUGCCUUCCAGUUCGAGCUCCGCCUCGACCUCAUCCCUGCUGCUGCCGCCUUCCCUGAACCAAGGAAGCCCUCAUCUGAUACGCUCUCAUCCGCGACGUGCUUCUCCAACCAUUGGUACGCGACGGUGGUUCGGUCCGGGAGGUGGCUCCUGCAAUCCUGGCGUCGCCGCAGCGGUGGUUCCAUUCCGGCGGCAUCAGGGGAGCACACAACGUCCACGAGCAGCAAGCAGAGUCGGCCAAUGAUGCAGCAGCGCUGUCCAUGAGGAGACGCCUGCCGUGGCGGACGCGGAGACAACAGCCAUGGGCGUGGAAGACGGUUUUGGAUCCUAUGAGCCGCCGCCGCUGCCGCACAGAAAGUCAACGCCGGCCUUCUGCUGCUCCAUGUCCCACAAGUCGCCCACGAGGCGUCAGUGUGGCAUUGCUAGCUCCAGUUUCCCCCUGCAAUCGUCUCUACCGCCGGCACUUGCACGCAAUCGUGCUGGUUUCUGUAGUUCAAGAUCAAAGGCAAGAAUCAGCCAAAUAUGAUGAUGAGAACAGGGCUAAUGAUGGAGAACCUUCAUCUAUCGAAGCUGAGCAGUCUAUUGGGAAUACUAAGUUUCAAUGCGCAUCCUAAGUUUCAGUUACCUGAAAUCAAGGCCAGUUUCAGUCGAUGCCGAAGUAAACUACCACAUACGUGAUGACCUUGAGAAAAUCCAUGCACUUCAAUUGGACAGGAGUUUUCUGCCACGUAAUCGAUGAUGCACUUCACGUGACAGAAUUGUUUGUUAAAGGAACUUUUGGCAAGAAAUACACAACCGUGCCAUUCAGUGUUAUACCUCUGUUAUUGGCAAGAAAUACACUAAUGUGUAGCUCACUGCUGAGGUAACAUCAAAUUUGUCUAAUACUUGUUCUCGCAUGUAGAAGUAAAAUGCUCUUUCAGAAUACAGUUAAAGGUGUCAGUAUAUUCUUCAGGUUAGCAAACUAUGAUUGAUUGCUCUUUAUGCUAAUCUGAAGAAGUUUAGAACCAUAUGUAUUCUGAACAUUGGCAAGUCCGCUUACAUAAAUUCUUCUAUUUUGCCAUUGCAACGAGAGAAAAAAAUACAUGGAGUGCCAAUGGAGAACUUGGCCCAAUUGAUAAUAUACCCAUCUUGGGUACUAUACAUCUAUUUCAUAUCAACGUUUGCUACUGACGUUGUGAUAGUUAAUGUUUCAUACUCCACAUUUGUUUCUUUUUCCGACAAAUCGAGAACCAUCUAUCAUAUUAUUCACCUUCUUGAGUGCUGGUAAAUCUAAUUUAAUUUUAUAAAUCCAUUUACGUCUUUCUAACACCGCAGAUGUUUUUUUAAGCAUUCCGCUAUAUGACAUUUCUUGACCGUUCAUAUAUCAAACUCCAGUUUUUAACUUCAUAUCGAAUCAAUUAUUGUAAGUCAAAGCUAAAAGUGCGUAUUCUAAUAUUUGAUUCCCAAAUUUGGUUUGUCACCGCCGUAAGCUCAUAACUUUAAACACCCGUACCUGGCAUUGAAACGGAAGGCUGAUCAAUAUUAGUGAUAUCACCAAGAGGGGGUCGGGAAACAACCUGCUUUUCAUUUUGGAGCUUGACCUGUUCAUCCUUUUUCUUUCGAUAAGUUGCUCGCCGUCGUGCGUUUCUCUGCUCCCUUUUGUCGUCUGUUAUGCUAUAACUCACUUGGUCAUUCACAAUAGCACAUGUUGUCUCGGAAUGAGUUGGGUAUACAUCACAUGUUGGGGUAGACGAUGUCACAAGCUCUGAACCACCACAACCAAGGGCAUUAAGACACACAUCAUUGUGGGCAGACUCUCUGGCUGCAGGAACAAAAGAAAAUAUGUCGGUUAGGCUAAUACAUGAACAUGCAUCCCUUUAAGCACAAAUCUGGCCAUAUGAAAGGCAUAAAGUGACCUGCGGCAUAAAGUGAUGCAAGAGUACUCCUAUCCGGGAACGAAGGCACAUUAUUGUCUGCACGAUGUAUAAACAACAAAUCUUGAUGAGAAUUAGUCAACAUGUACAUUCAUAGAGACGUUUGAUCACUGUCCAUGAUGCACGUGUCAGAUCAUACCAAAUGAACUUCCUGCAAGGCCGCAGGCAAAAAUAUCUGUGAGAGUACUCGGAUCAGUGAACGAAGCAACAUCAGGGCUACAGAAGGAGAUUGAUGGGUUGUCUACAAAACAAAACCAGUACAGAAUGAGGCAGUUUCCUGCUAACCGAAUAGGGUAGAUAGUGUGUUUAAAUAUGGAACCCACGUACGUAAACUUGCAUG